rnacentral:rRNA from 1 species
UUGCAGAAUUCCGCGAAUCAUCGAGUUUUUGAACGCAAGUUGCGCCCGAGGCUUGACCAAGGGCAUCUCUGCCAGAGCGUCACCGCGACA